CUGGCUGCCCGAGCAGAACCCUCAAUGCCCGGGGCAGAACAGAUACUGCUUCCCCCUCCUCCCCCAUUGAGGCCGGUCAUGGAUAGUUGUCUCUUCUGAUCAAAGCACAUAAUCUAUAUUUGUCAAUUCAGCAAUGUCUGUGCAUUUUGGAUGAAAAUCAUUCACGGAACACUGAGGAACAGUGGAUAUCAGAUCAUUCUGAGUUCUUCCGUAUGACGAGGCUUAAAUAAGUAAUGCUUAUUCACUGGGGAAACACAAACAAUGAAUUUUAAUGAUUACACUAAUAAGAUACACAUACCAAAUUGACUUCAACUGUUUGAGUUCCAAGUCAAUUGUCAAGCUCAUAUGAACUGAGACCUCUGCAGAGAGUGUGGGGAAGGGAGAAUGACAGGCACCAGCUCCCAUCCCUUCCAACCAUCUAAAAUCCAAGUGACAAAGAGCUCCCAUAUUGAGGACUUCCAGCUAUUAACAGCUGUUUGUUGACAUUUUGACCUUCAAAUUCUGUUAACCACUGAGAGUAGAAUAAUCCACGAUACUAUCAGUCAUUCCAUUUUUAUAAUAUAACAUUUAUAAUGAGUCCAGGCAUGUUUUCCAACUGAUUUAGUGGCAAGAACAUUUGAUAUCAGAUAAAGCAAUGCAUUAUUUUUCCUGGACAUCUGUUGUUCCUGGACAUCUGCAACACUCAUGUGAGAGGGGCAAUGAAGACGAUCCCAGCUUUGGGGAAGGUUGGCCAUGGUAUCAACUCGGAAUGACAGCAGGAUGUCCUGAUGCAUUGUGUCUACAGAGAUUCUCAGUCAUUCAGGAGUUUUGGAAUCACAUAGCAUCAGCAACUCAAACAUAAAGAUGAAAGUAUUUACUCUUAUGAAUGAUGUGCUGAGGAUGAUCAAGACCGUAGGGGUGCAGCGGUUAUAAUGCAGUAUUGCAGACUAAUUCAGUUCACUGCCAGGAUGUUGAUUCUCACCAGCUCAAGGUUGACUCAG